rnacentral:rRNA from 1 species
AGGGAAAGUUUUUCGGUGUAGGAUGAGGCUAUAUUGUAUCAGCUAGUUGGUGAGGUAAUGGCUCACCAAGGCUAUGACGCAUAACUGGUCUGAGAGGAUGAUCAGUCACACUGGAACUGAGACACGGUCCAGACUCCUACGGGAGGCAGCAGUAGGGAAUAUUGCUCAAUGGGGGAAACCCUGAAGCAGCAACGCCGCGUGGAGGAUGACACUUUUCGGAGCGUAAACUCCUUUUGUUAGGGAAGAACAAUGACGGUACCUAACGAAUAAGCACCGGCUAACUCCGUGCCAGCAGCCGCGGUAAUACGGAGGGUGCAAGCGUUACUCGGAAUCACUGGGCGUAAAGGACGCGUAGGCGGAUUAUCAAGUCUCUUGUGAAAUCCUAUGGCUUAACCAUAGAACUGCUUGGGAAACUGAUAAUCUAGAGUGAGGGAGAGGCAGAUGGAAUUGGUGGUGUAGGGGUAAAAUCCGUAGAGAUCACCAGGAAUACCCAUUGCGAAGGCGAUCUGCUGGAACUCAACUGACGCUAAUGCGUGAAAGCGUGGGGAGCAAACAGGAUUAGAUACCCUGGUAGUCCACGCCCUAAACGAUGUAUACUAGUUGUUGCUAAGCUAGUCUUGGCAGUAAUGCACCUAACGGAUUAAGUAUACCGCCUGGGGAGUACGGUCGCAAGAUUAAAACUCAAAGGAAUAGACGGGGACCCGCACAAGCGGUGGAGCAUGUGGUUUAAUUCGAAGAUACGCGAAGAACCUUACCCGGACUUGAUAUCUAACAAAUCAUCUAGAGAUAGAAGAGUGUCUGCUCGCAGAAAUGUUAAGACAGGUGCUGCACGGCUGUCGUCAGCUCGUGUCGUGAGAUGUUGGGUUAAGUCCCGCAACGAGCGCAACCCACGUCAUUAGUUGCUAACAGUUCGGCUGAGCACUCUAAUGAGACUGCCUUCGUAAGGAGGAGGAAGGUGUGGACGACGUCAAGUCAUCAUGGCCCUUAUGUCCGGGGCGACA